GACGAACGCUGGCGGCGUGCUUAACACAUGCAAGUCGAACGGUAAGGCCCUUCGGGGUACACGAGUGGCGAACGGGUGAGUAACACGUGGGUGAUCUGCCCUGCACUUCGGGAUAAGCCUGGGAAACUGGGUCUAAUACCGGAUAGGACUCCGGACUGCAUGGUCUGGGGUGGAAAGCUUUUGCGGUGUGGGAUGGGCCCGCGGCCUAUCAGCUUGUUGGUGGGGUGAUGGCCUACCACGGCGACGACGGGUAGCCGGCAUGAGAGGGUGACCGGCCACAAUGGGAUUGAGGUACGGCCCAGACUCCUACGGGAGGCAGCAGUGGGUAAUAUUGCACAAUGGGGGCAAGCCUGAGCCAGCGACGACGCGUGAGGGAUGGCGGCCUUCGGGUUGUAAACCUCUUUCAGCAUCGACGAAGCGAAAGUGACGGUAGGUGCAGAAGAAGGACCGGCCAACUACGUGCCAGCAGCCGCAGUAA
rnacentral:rRNA from 1 species